rnacentral:lncRNA from 1 species
AAUAUCAACACAGCACUUCAUUUUUCUCGGAAACUAAUAUAAUAAACCAAAUUAUUGAAAGUUGAACUGCGUCGGUUUUUUUUUCUGUGUGUGUACCCAAUGCAAACAUGCAAAUUACAAAUUUAUUUGUACGCGUCCUUCGCAAAUAAGCGCCUGGAUUUGUGGACGCACUGGCAACUGGAAGCUGGCAAAGCGUGAAACUGCUAAGCAGGCAAUUUCAGAUUCGGCGGUAACUGUAUUUGGUGAAUUAUUAAAGCAACGGGAUAAUGAGAAAGCAACAGCCAGAACGAAAGCUCCAGCGUAGCAGUAAAUCAGAAAGUGGCUUUGAGCUUGUGUGGGCUGGGGGGCAGUGGCACGCUCUGCGGCCAGAACAGAGCUUCUUAUUGACUAACAAUGGAAACGAUGCGGCAUCUUUUAAAUUUGGCCAUCCAAUAGCCAUUGCAGUAUCUCUGAAUUAUUCAAGUGCCAACAUACUCUCGAAUCGAGCAUUCAUAUGCUCGUGGAGAAGAACUUUACUUUGUGUGUGCGCGUUGAAGCUUACACGCAUACACACAUUCAUGCAUACCCGUGCAUGAUACACAGAACCACGCACUCGGUAUUCUUUUUAAUUUAUUGGGUAACCAAAAUGUUGGUCCUGGGCCGUGUGGGGUCUGUUGGGGUGGUUUGCCAGCAUUUGUACACACACAAACACACACAGACACCAGGUUCGCAAAGGAUGCCACAACACACACAAGCGUGCCAUGCCGCGUCCAAGUCCGCCCUUAGUUAACUUUUUUGUUAGUUUGCCUCAGCAUAAGGAGUACUCUGCUGUUCGCACGGCCAUUAUCCGCAUUAUUUGUUAACCUAUUUGCCCACCCGCAAUCGGAAUCGCGCAGCCUCCCCCACCACAGGACUCCAUUCUGC